AUUAACUCACGAACUAUCCUGGUAGGUUAGCAUUAAUGCUAACCUACCAGGAUAGUUUGUGAGUUAAUGCUAACCUGCCAAGAUAAUUAACCAGUUAAUGCUAACCUACCAGGAUAAUUCGUGAGUUAACUGGUUAAUUAUCUUGGCAGGUUAG